CUCCAAUGAUGACCUUAAUUUUGUGCCACGUGUCUGGGCCACUGAUCCAAAUGAUGGGAUUGAGGAUCUGAGGAG
ensembl:snoRNA small nucleolar RNA SNORD66